AGGAGCAACAGCCCCAGUGGCGGGGCCAGCUCUGGAGCCCUGGAUUCAGCCCCCGCAGUAGCUCCAGAGCUCUCCGUCUGCAGGGCCUGGAGGCUCCGGGGCGGG
rnacentral:pre_miRNA from 1 species